AGUGAACCAAGCACGUUGCUAAGACUGGGCUAUAGUAGCUAAGAACUACAUUUAAUUAUCAAACCAAUGUCAAUUAAAAUUGAAUCCAAUAAUUCAAAAUUAAUUAUAUAGGCCAUCAAAUGAGUGCAGCCAACACACAAGCUAUAAUGCCAAUGUAGCAAGACAAGUUAAUUCUUAAAAAAAUGAAUUAAAAAUAGAAGAAUUGCCAGUUUGGGAGCACACAGAGAUGCCUGAAGGAGGACUGAAGGACAACUUCAGUAACAGAAGUGUGAGCAGAGGGAUGGACACAAGCAGGCAUGGGAGUGAGCUGGGGUCCUGUUUGCUCCCAAAUGCAUGUUAGACAGGUGUUUUACACUAAGUGGAACAGCUUUCACAGGGACACCGAGUGCUUCACAUAGCUUACAGCUUGCUGUUUGGGGUGACUCUUGAGAGGUGGCAGAUGUGAUACAUAGCUGGAGGAGUUGUAACAUUUGUUUCCCUUACCCCAGCGGCCCAGUAACCAGCUAGGAACAGCACCACUCCUAGGGAGACAAGAAACGAUAUUCAGGAGUUCUAGGGGAUGUAAGCGUAGAAUGGUGAUCCUAAAGUGACAAUCGUUGCUCUGCAACCCACACUUAAGAGAGCAAGAACUGGAACUUUACAUCACAAAUCUUCCCAGCACGCUCUCCUGGCCAAGGCCACAGCCAGGUGCCUUACCUUGGUGCCAGCAGUGGAGUGGCAUGGCCAUUAGGGUAGCAGAAGGAUUUUAAAUCUUGUGUUACCACAACAAGUGGUUUUCUUAGUGUUCGAGGGUACCAUCUUCGAGCACAGAUCCUACUAACAUGACUCUGUUCUCAGUGCCUGUACAGUUCCUUUAUAAAUACUGUGCAUAGCCCAGAUCAGCUGUGUUAAACACUGCUCCCCUUGCAUUGUGACAGAAUACACAGCUUCCUUGAGCACUUACUCCAUUAAGGAAACAAUGUCACUGAACAGAGAUUCAUUGAUCCAAGCAAUGCAAAGAGGGAGAUUAGUUUGUUCUCCAGCACCACCACCAACAGCAGCGUAGGAGCUUCAUUCCAUUGGACAACUCAUGACACUACACUGUGCCUGGAACUGUUGUCUACAUUCUCCUAUUACAGAAGGGAGUAGGUUGCAUCAUUUUCUGUUGUUCACUCAAUGAUGUGGUUGAGUUUACAGUAGGGAAAAAUUAUUAGGGCAAUGAGCCCAAAUAAUGCUCCUCUGAGCAGAGGUGGGGAAGCAUUGCUUGAUGGCGUCUGUCUGUUUUAUUAUCAGGCAAGUCAGUGUGAGGUUAAUGUUAAGGCACCAAACCCAGACUUCAGUUUGACCAAUUCCCUCUUCCCCUCAGGAGAAAAUUCUUUUCUUUGCUAGCAUUUUGCAGCUGGAUAAAUGACGUACAUUAUUU
rnacentral:lncRNA from 1 species